CACACAAACCAAAGCAUUGCACACAUCCCCAAUUUAAUCUUUUCCCCCAAUUUCAAUCACAACAUUCUACUACCAUUUUUUUUGUUUUUUUCUUUUGACAUUCCACUAUCAUAACAAUUAAGGGUAAACUUCAAAUUGCUAUCCUAUGAUUUAGCUUAUUUUUACUUUAUCAUCAUGUAAUUCAAAAGAUUUCACUUUAUAUUAUACAUAAAAUAGGAUGGCAAAGUAGAAGAUAUUUAAAAACAUUAUAAGGUGUCAAAGUAAAACUUUUUUUAGCCACAGAAUGGCGAAGUGAAAAUGAGCUAAAC
rnacentral:lncRNA from 1 species